rnacentral:rRNA from 1 species
UGGGGAAUCUUGCGCAAUGGGCGAAAGCCUGACGCAGCAACGCCGCGUGGGGGAUGAAGGCCUUCGGGUUGUAAACCCCUUUCAGCAGGGACGAAUUUGACGGUACCUGCAGAAGAAGCCCCGGCUAACUACGUGCCAGCAGCCGCGGUAAUACGUAGGCAGCAAGCGUUGUUCGGAGUUACUGGGCGUAAAGGGUGUGUAGGCGGUUCUCUAAGUUUGGUGUGAAAUCUCCCGGCUCAACUGGGAGGGUGCGCCGAAAACUGGAGAGCUAGAGUGCGGGAUGGGAGAGUGGAAUUCCUGGUGUAGCGGUGAAAUGCGUAGAUAUCAGGAGGAACACCUGUGGUGUAGACGGCUCUCUGAACCGCAACUGACGCUGAGACACGAAAGCGUGGGUAGCAAAC